AUGAACAACAAGGCAAACACAAGCAGGAAAAGUUAUGGGCAUGGUUUGGUUGUAGCAGCAUCAAUUUCAUCUUCAUGUUCAUCAUUAGCAUCAAACAGCAAACACACAAUCAUGGGAGUUUCUAGUCAUGGUUCAUGGUUCAAAUAACAGCAGCAUUGGCAUUUGCAGCAUCACUUUCAUGUUAUCAUCAUCAUAAAACAAAGUAGAGCAAGC
rnacentral:lncRNA from 1 species